rnacentral:rRNA from 1 species
UACGUAGGGGCCGAGCGUUGUCCGGAGUUACUGGGCGUAAAGCGCGCGCAGGCGGCGCAUCGCGCCCGGCGUGAAAGCCCCCGGCUCAACCGGGGAGGGUCGUCGGGGACGGGUGCGCUUGAGGACGGCAGGGGCAGGUGGAAUUCCCGGUGUAGUGGUGAAAUGCGUAGAGAUCGGGAGGAGCACCGGUGGCGAAGGCGGCAUCCUGGACCGACACUGACGCUGAGGAGCGAAAGCCAGGGGAGCAAACGGG